AGCGAACGCUGGCGGCGAGCCUAACACAUGCAAGUCGAACGUGAAAGGGAGCAAUCCCAAGUAAAGUGGCGUACGGGUGAGUAACACGUAGGUAAUCUACCCCAGAAUCUGGAAUAACCGGCCGAAAGGCUGGCUAAUACUGGAUAGAGCGACGGAAUCCGUAAUUGGGUUUUUCGGGAAAGGGAGCCUGUAAAAAGGCCUUCGUUCUGGGAUGAGCCUGCGUCCCAUCAGCUAGUUGGUGAGGUAAAAGCUUACCAAGGCAAUGACGGGUAGCUGGUCUGAGAGGACGAUCAGCCACACUGGAACUGAAACACGGUCCAGACUCCUACGGGAGGCAGCAGUGGGGAAUCUUGCGCAAUGGACGAAAGUCUGACGCAGCAACGCCGCGUGAGUGAAGAAGGCCUUCGGGUUGUAAAGCUCUGUCGAGUGGGACGAAAAUGCUUGGAGUUCACAGCUCCAGGAACUGACGGUACCACUAAAGGAAGCACCGGCUAACUCCGUG
rnacentral:rRNA from 1 species